UACGUAGGUGGCAAGCGUUGUCCGGAAUUAUUGGGCGUAAAGCGCGCGCAGGCGGUCCUUUAAGUCUGAUGUGAAAGCCCACGGCUCAACCGUGGAGGGUCAUUGGAAACUGGGGGACUUGAGUACAGAAGAGGAAAGCGGAAUUCCACGUGUAGCGGUGAAAUGCGUAGAGAUGUGGAGGAACACCAGUGGCGAAGGCGGCUUCCUGGGCCGCGCCUGACGCUGAGACGCGAAAGCGUGGGGAGCGAACGGG
rnacentral:rRNA from 1 species